rnacentral:ncRNA from 1 species
AUAUGUGCUAUAGAAAAGAGGAGUAGAUAAUUUGAGCUUUCAAGAGAGAUGACGUUUGGUGAAAGUCAUUAAGCUUUUAUUUUCGAAGGUUGCUUUUCUGCAUUUCCUAUGGAAACGAUGAUUACGUUAUAAUCCAAAGUGCCGUUUAGACGGAAUUAAGGUGGUACCGCGUCCCCUCGUCCUUAUA